CAACUGAUUUAUUUGUUUGUCCACAUACUCCAGUUGAUUAAUCGAUUACUAAAUCAGUUGAUAAUUGUUUAAAUAAUCGAUUGAUCGUGAUUAAUACGAUUAAUCAUUCCAGCCCAAGGGAAUUUCACUACUCUGCUUUCCUGCCUUUAUACUCCACAACCUGAAUCUUGGCUCUGAGCAAAAGAAAUUCCACUUGCUGGCUUAAGCUAAUGACAUAAUCUUUACAGAAAUGUUUAAACAGAAGUCAGCAUGUAAUAUCCAACAUGAGCCCGCUGUAGCUGCGGCUAAUCUUUGCUUUGUGUCAUAAUGUCCUUGUGCUACUAGUUGAGGGCAGCGCAGCAGAGGUCAGUCUCCUCUAAUUCACACACAUGGGGAAUGCUUAAGCAGAUUCACACACUCCUGAUGUACAAAAGUUGUCUUACUGUAGUAAUCCAUUUCUGCCUUCUAGCGGAGAGAGCGAGAUAAAAAAAGGGGGGAAUGUUGAUUGGAUUAGGCAACAUCUAAAAGACAAUUUUCCCCUCGCUAUUUUUAGACAAAAGAGUGAAUAAAAAGUAAGAAAAACACAAAAAAAUCUUAUUAACUUGUAUUAAAAGGAUCAAAAGGUUCGUUUUCUUGUCCAUAAAGCUACAAAUCUUGCUUAAAUUAGUAGAAAACAUCUUUCAUAUCAUAUUUCUCGCAUUUUGUACCUGAGCUUUGCCAUUUUGUCCCAGUCUACUUCCAUAGUUCAUACUUGUAAACAAACCGUUUCAUACUCAUGUACUUAACCAUUGUACUACUUCAUGUCAGUUAAUUAAUUUUCUUUAUUUUUAAGUAUAUUUUGUUAGUUAACAAGAGUAAGAAGAAUUUGUAGUUACAAUGACGUAAAAUAUUGCAAUCAAAAUGUUCCAUUUUGCACUUUUUUUUGUCUCACUGAAAUGUUUUAAAUAAAUCCGAAUAUCAGAUGAUAAGAAUCUAAGAAAAUUCAACAAACAGUUUUCAAAUGAUCAAUUCUUUAUUAAAGUUAAAAAACUGGUCAAAUCAAACUGAAUAUAUAAUCAUCUGUUAAAUGCAAUAUGAACUCUGAUAAACUAUAAUGUUUUGGUUCAGCUUAACUAGCCGUCCAGUCACAGGUCAAGUGAUUUCUUGACCUGUAGAUUCAAGAAAUCACUUAGUAAGAACCUGUGUGGCACAGGAAGUAGGCUAACAGAUCUCAAAAAGCAACACAGCAUGCCCUAGCCCCAAGAACAUUUAAAAAACAGAUUAGAAACAAAGUCAACUUGUGUCUGUUUUCCAUAAAUGGAGAAAAAAAUGGAACAGUGGUGGCCAAAAUUACUCCAAAAGCAUAUCAACGAACCAACCAGGAGGCAACAAAACAAUAAAAACUAUAACAACCUGAAAAAUACUGCCUCAAAGCUCAGUGAUCGUG